rnacentral:rRNA from 1 species
UACGUAGGGUGCGCGCGUUAAUCGGAAUUACUGGGCGUAAAGCGUGCGCAGGCGGUUCGUUGUGUCGGCGGUGAAAGCCCCGGGCUUAACCUGGGAAUGGCCGUUGAAACUGGCGAACUGGAGUGUGGCAGAGGGGGGUGGAAUUCCGCGUGUAGCAGUGAAAUGCGUAGAGAUGCGGAGGAACACCGAUGGCGAAGGCAGCCCCCUGGGCUAACACUGACGCUCAGGCACGAAAGCGUGGGGAGCAAACAGG